rnacentral:lncRNA from 1 species
GAAAAAUUGUAAAAAUCAUGGAUCCUGCUAAAUGUGUCUUUGGUAAUAAAUUUAUGGAAAAAUGAGUUUUAGUCACAGGCGCCGCCGCGCUUGUUGGCUCCGCCGGAAUGUGUAGUUUCAGGUACCAAUCAGGCCGAUGCAGUUGCAGACUUGCAGAUCCGAGCGGAGAUGGAAGACGGAGAUGGAAGACGAAGAUGGAAGAGAAGCCCACUUUUUUUUUUUUUUCUUUUUGGUUUCGGCUAAGUGAGUAAUUGAUAAAUCAGAAGUUGGGCCUCUUUUUGUUUAGCCCAAUUUUCAAAUGAAUGAAUAAACAAAUGGUCCAAUUUCCAAAUGAUCAAACCAUUUUCAAAUCGUGAAAGCCAACAAUCCAAACGUGAAAUGCCCAAAUCAUGAAAGUCAAACCCUUUUCCUCUCUUCUCCAAUCUCCAAUCCACACAGCGCAGCGACGAAGAAGAGGCAGCACCUACACCAUGAGGAGGAAGAGUCACCGGAGCCCCGGAGCCGCCAACAAUGUGUUCUACUACCAACUGCCGAGUGUCGUCUGCCAUUUCGAUUUUCUGCUUUUCGGUCUUGAGCUAGUGACUAUUCUGUCUCCCCCUUCUUCUUCUUUUUUGUUUUUUGUUUUUUUUCCUUCUAUUUUGUUGGCUACUUAACUUCUUGAUGUUGUCCUGUUGAGUAACAAAUGUUAAUUACGUUAUGGUUAUUGAUUUGGAGAUUUAUAUUUAUGAGAUUAUGUUUGCGAAUUGUAAUUUAUGAUAAUAAAUUUAUGUUUUAUGAGUUAUGAUUAUUUUGAUUUGGGAAUUUAUGUUUGCGAAUUGUGAUUUAUUAUAAAUGUUUUAUAUUUUAAUGAGG